rnacentral:tRNA from 1 species
GAGGUUGUGGCUUAGUGGUAGAGCGCUCGCCUAGCAUGUAGGAGGCCCUGGGUUUGAUCCUCAGCACCACA